rnacentral:misc_RNA from 1 species
GAAAUGCGAUAAGUAAUGUGAAUUGCAGAAUUCAGUGAAUCAUCGAAUCUUUGAACGCACAUUGCGCCCGCCAGUAUUCUAGUGGGCAUGCCUGUUCGAGCGUCAUUUCAACCCUUAAGCCCGGCUUGGUCUUGGAGGCAGAGCAGCCCAAUCGGCGCGCCUCUCCUCUGAAAUCCAAUGGCGGUCUGGUUCUGUUACCUUGCGUAGUAAGCUUUUGCCUCGUAAAGUGAACACGAAUCGGCUUGCCGGUGAAUCCCCACAUUUCUCCAGGUUGACCUCGGAUCAGGUAGGAAUACCCGCUGAACUUAA